AGUGAACGCUGGCGGUAGGCCUAACACAUGCAAGUCGAACGGCAGCACAGUAAGAGCUUGCUCUUACGGGUGGCGAGUGGCGGACGGGUGAGGAAUACAUCGGAAUCUACUUUUUCGUGGGGGAUAACGUAGGGAAACUUACGCUAAUACCGCAUACGACCUACGGGUGAAAGCAGGGGAUCUUCGGACCUUGCGCGAUUGAAUGAGCCGAUGUCGGAUUAGCUAGUUGGCGGGGUAAAGGCCCACCAAGGCGACGAUCCGUAGCUGAUGUGGGAGGAUGGUCAGCCACACUGGAACUGAGACACGGUCCAGACUCCUACGGGAGGCAGCAGUGGGGAAUAUUGGACAAUGGGCGCAAGCCUGAUCCAGCCAUACCGCGUGGGUGAAGAAGGCCUUCGGGUUGUAAAGCCCUUUUGUUGGGAAAGAAAAGCAGCAGGUUAAUACCCCGCUGUUCUGACGGUACCCAAAGAAUAAGCACCGGCUAACUUCGUG
rnacentral:rRNA from 1 species